UAAGACGAACCGUGCGAACGUUGUUCGGAUUCACUGGGCUUAAAGGGCGCGUAGGCGGGCUUUCAAGUCCGGGGUGAAAUACUCCAGCUUAACUGGAGAAUUGCCUGGGAUACUGGAAGUCUCGAGGGAGGUAGGGGUCGACGGAACUUCCGGUGGAGCGGUGAAAUGCGUAGAGAUCGGAAGGAACGCCGGUGGCGAAAGCGGUCGACUGGUCCUCUUCUGACGCUGAGGCGCGAAAGCCAGGGUAGCGAACGGGAUUAGAUACCCCGGUAGUCCUGGCCCUAAACGAUGGGUACUAGGUAGAAGGCCGCAUGGGCUUUCUGCCGGAGCGAAAGUGCGAAGUACCCCGCCUGGGGAGUAUGGUCGCAAGGCUG
rnacentral:rRNA from 1 species